UACGUAGGGUGCGAGCGUUAAUCGGAAUUACUGGGCGUAAAGCGUGCGCAGGCGGUUUUGUAAGCCAGAUGUGAAAGCCCCGGGCUUAACCUGGGAAUGGCAUUUGGGACUGCAAGGCUUGAGUGCGGCAGAGGAGACUGGAAUUCCUGGUGUAGCAGUGAAAUGCGUAGAUAUCAGGAGGAAUACCGAUGGCGAAGGCAGGUCUCUGGGCUGACACUGACGCUCAUGCGCGAAAGCGUGGGGAGCGAUCCGG
rnacentral:rRNA from 1 species